rfam:Rattus norvegicus chromosome 8, whole genome shotgun sequence.
GGGGAUUUAGCUCAGUGGUAGAGCACCUGCCUAGCAAGCACAAGGCCCUGGGUUCAGUCCCCAGCUCCG